rnacentral:rRNA from 1 species
AAACAUAACAUAGAGAGUCCUGCCUGCCCAGUGACAAAAAGUUAAACGGCCGCGGUAUCUUGACCGUGCGAAGGUAGCAUAAUCACUUGUCUCCUAAAUAGAGACUGGUAUGAAUGGCAAGACGGAACUUAACUGUCUCCUUUUCUUGUAUCUUAAUUUCACUUUCCCGUGAAGAGGCGGGAAGAUAUUCGCUAGACGAGAAGACCCUGUCGAGCUUAAGCAAAAUACUAAUUUCUAAUUCCUUUUAAUUGUAUUCUAAUCUUUUUCGCUAAAUGCAAUUAAGAGUAAAUUAUUAAUACAAGCUUUGGUUGGGGCAACCGCGGAGAAGAAAAACCCUCCGCUUACAAUAGAUAAAAAUGAGACCCUACAAGUCUAAUAUUGUACAAACAAGUCAACUGAUCCACCACGGUGAUCAAAGGAAAAAGUUACCGCAGGGAUAACAGCGUUAUCUUUUCUGAGAGUUCACAUUGACGAAAAGGUUUGCGACCUCGAUGUUGGAUCGGGACAUCCUAAGGGUGCAGAAGCUUUUAAGGGUUGGUCUGUUCGACCAUUAAAGUCCU